CCUACGGGGGGCUGCAGUGGGGAAUAUUGCACAAUGGGGGAAACCCUGAUGCAGCGACGCCGCGUGAGUGAAGAAGUCUUUCUGUAUGUAAAGCUCUAUCAGCAGGGAAGAAAUAGCGACCUUUUGGUCGCCAGCCGGUACCUGCCUAAGAAGCCCCGGCUAACUCCGUGCCAGCAGCCGCGGUAAUACGGAGGAUGCGAGCGUUAUCCGGAUUUAUUGGGUUUAAAGGGUGCGCAGGCGGAAGAUCAAGUCAGCGGUAAAAUUGAGAGGCUCAACCUCUUCGAGCCGUUGAAACUGGUUUUCUUGAGUGAGCGAGAAGUAUGCGGAAUGCGUGGUGUAGCGGUGAAAUGCAUAGAUAUCACGCAGAACUCCGAUUGCGAAGGCAGCAUACCGGCGCUCAACUGACGCUCAUGCACGAAAGUGUGGGUAUCGAACAGGAUUAGAUACCCGAGUAGUC
rnacentral:rRNA from 1 species